UACAGAGGGGGCAAGCGUUGUUCGGAAUUACUGGGCGUAAAGGGCGCGUAGGCGGCCUGUUAAGUCGAACGUGAAAUCCCCGGGCUCAACCCGGGAACUGCGUCCGAUACUGGCAGGCUUGAAUUCGGGAGAGGGACGUGGAAUUCCAGGUGUAGCGGUGAAAUGCGUAGAUAUCUGGAGGAACACCGGUGGCGAAGGCGGCAUCCUGGACCGAUAUUGACGCUGAUGCGCGAAAGCCAGGGGAGCAAACGGG
rnacentral:rRNA from 1 species